rnacentral:tRNA from 1 species
GCCCCCAUAGCUCAGUGGUUAGAACACUGGUCUAGUUAAAUCAGGGGUCGAGAGUUCAAUUCUCUUUGGCGUCA